ensembl:lncRNA
CCAAAAGCCACCUGGAAGGCACAGGAGCCAGAGUUUAUUACACUCAAUCACAAACAGAACGUAUGAAUUUCAUCCAACAUGCACUGCUAAGCAGACCCACUGAGGAAGAGGGAGAGAGUGCAGAGGGAGCUGCAGAAUACCAGCAGAAAAUUAAGCCUCCUCUUAGCUGGCAGUCAUGGCAAGAAGGCGACACUGUGGAGAGGGGCAAUGCAGCCAUGCACCCACACGGCCUUUGCCUGCCCAGCACCAGAAGCCUGUGGGGUGACACUCAAAAAGCAUCACAGAACAUCGGUCUCCAAGAGGCUCCUGAGGCUGUGCAGCCAUCCCAGCGUGGUAUCAACUCCAUCGAAGCGGUGAGCAGAGAGGCUGAGGCACAGCCCCAACCCUACGGAGCCGGUGGGAGGUUUGCUGUUGACCUGGGACUCGUUGGGUUUAAACGCUCAGAGGGAUGUCAGGUGGAAGAGAACUUCGCACGCCUCCCCUGGAAGGAAGGGCGGCUGAGACGCAACGAUCCCCAUUAGCAAAGCUCCGCUCUCCGUGCUUUUUAAAGGCUAAUCCUUCCAGACGGAGCUCACAUCCAUCUCGCAUAGCAAAGCGCUCUGCAGGGCAGCGCCGAUCAGCACUGGAGGCAGCGGGUGGGAGGGCGGUGUGGGAUGCGCCGCGACAGCCCCGUGUGAUGCUCACCCAGAUGUGUGCCGCUCCCCAUGGCAGCCGCUGGGGCCUCCAGGAGCUCAGGUGCUGCUCUUCCAAAUCCAAAA